ACAGAGGUAGGCUCCGCCGCGGGAACUUCUUCCUCUUCUUCUUCGCCGCCUCUUGCUUUGCGGUGGCUCAAAAGCGGAGACGACGGUGGUUGGGGGAAGGAAGACGAGAAAGAAGAGAAACAAGAAAUCCCCUUCCCUUGAAACUCUUCAAAGGGUAAGGGCAUUGCAGACGAUAAAAAAUAGUGUAUUUGUCUUCUUGAAGCUCUUCUUCUUCUUCUUCUUCUUCGUUGUUGUGAU
rnacentral:sRNA from 1 species